CUUUAGAAUCCCUUGGACUGCAAGGAGAUCAAACCACUCAAUCCUAAAGGAAAUUGAAAAAAAGAAAAAAUAUAUAUACAAAGGAAAUUGACCCUGAAUAUCCAUUAGAAAGACUGAUGCUGAAGCUGAAGCUCCAGUACUUUGGCGACCUGAUGAGACGAGCCGACUCAUUGGAAAAGACCCUGAUGCUGGGAAAGAUUGAAGGCAGGAGGAGAAGGGGGUGGCAGAGGAUGAGAUGGUUGGAUGGCAUCACCGACUCAAUGGACGAGUGUGUGAGCAAACUCCAGGAGAUGGUGAAGGACAGGGAAGCCUGGUGUGCUGUAGUCCAUGGGGUUACAAAGAGUCAGAUACGACUGAGCAACAGUGGAGCCCUGAAGAACACAGGGCCACUGAACAAUGACAGUGGAGCCCCCCCAUCUUCUUUACACCAUGUGAGGAUUGAAUGAGAAGCAGGCCGCCCACAACCCAGAAGAGAGCCUUCACAUUGUGAAUGAUGCUACUAUGAACACAGGUGAAACCAGUCAAUCCUGAAGGAAAUCAACCCUGAAUAUCCUUUGAAAUGACUGAUGCUGAAGCUGAAGCUCCAGUAUUUUGUCCACCUGAUGCGAACAGCCGACUGAUUAGAAAAGACCCUGAUACUGGGAAAGACUGAGGGCAAAAGGAGAAGGUUGCGGCAGAGGAUGAGAUGGUUAGAUACCAUCACCGAUUCCAUGGACAUGAGUUUGAGCAAGCUCUGGGAGACAGCAGAGGACAGGGGAGCCCGGUGUGCUGCAGUACAUGGAGUCGCAGAGUCAGACACGAUUUAGUGACUGAACAACAACAAAAGUUUUACCGUAAUAAAA
ensembl:lncRNA